GACGAACGCUGGCGGCGUGCUUAACACAUGCAAGUCGAACGGUAAGGCCCUUCGGGGUACACGAGUGGCGAACGGGUGAGUAACACGUGGGUGAUCUGCCCUGCACUUCGGGAUAAGCCUGGGAACCUGGGUCUAAUACCGGAUAGGACCACUGCCUGCAUGGGUGGUGGUGGAAAGCUUUUGCGGUGUGGGAUGGGCACGCGGCCUAUCAGCUUGUUGGUGGGGUGAUGGCCUACCAAGGGGACGACGGGUAGCCGGCCUGGGAGGGUGACCGGCCACACUGGGACUGAGAUACGGCCCAGACUCCUACGGGAGGCAGCAGUGGGGAAUAUUGCACAAUGGGCGCAAGCCUGAUGCAGCGACGCCGCGUGAGGGAUGACGGCCUUCGGGUUGUAAACCUCUUUCAGCACCGACGAAGCGCAAGUGACGGUAGGUGCAGAAGAAGGACCGGCCAACUACGUGCCAGCCGCCGCAGUAA
rnacentral:rRNA from 1 species